UGCCAGUCGCCGCGGUAAUACGGAGGGGGUUAGCGUUGUUCGGAAUUACUGGGCGUAAAGCGCUCGUAGGCGGAUCGGAAAGUUGGGGGUGAAAUCCCGGGGCUUAACCCCGGAACUGCCCUCAAAACUGUCGAUCUAGAGACCGGGAGAGGUAAGCGGAAUUCCUAGUGUAGAGGUGAAAUUCGUAGAUAUUAGGAAGAACACCAGUGGCGAAGGCGGCUUACUGGACCGGUACUGACGCUGAGGCGCGAAAGCUAGGGGAGCGAACGGGAUUAGAUA
rnacentral:rRNA from 1 species